rnacentral:rRNA from 1 species
AGAGUUUGAUCAUGGCUCAGAUUGAACGUUGGCGGCACGCCUAAUACAUGCAAGUCGAACGAGAAAGCACUUCGGUGUGAGUACAGUGGCGGACGGGUGAGUAACGCGUAGGAAUCUACCUAGUAGUGGGGGACAACUCGAGGAAACUCGAGCUAAUACCGCAUACGCUCUUAGGAGGAAAGUGGGGGAUCUUCGGACCUCACGCUAUUAGAGGAGCCUGCGUUAGAUUAGCUUGUUGGUGAGGUAAAGGCUCACCAAGGCGACGAUCUAUAGCUGGUCUGAGAGGACGAUCAGCCACACUGGAACUGAGACACGGUCCAGACUCCUACGGGAGGCAGCAGUAGGGAAUCUUGGGCAAUGGGCGAAAGCCUGACCCAGCGAUGCCGCGUGUGCGAAGAAGGCCUUAGGGUUGUAAAGCACUUUCAGUCGUGAAGAAAAGCUACGAUUUAAUAUGUCGUGGUCUUGACGUUAGCGACAGAAGAAGUACCGGCUAACUCCGUGCCAGCAGCCGCGGUAAUACGGAGGGUACGAACGUUAAUCGGAAUUACUGGGCGUAAAGCGCGCGUAGGCGGUUUGAUAAGUGGGAUGUGAAAGCCCCGGGCUCAACCUGGGAACUGCAUUCCAAACUGUCAAACUAGAGUGUGGUAGAGGGCGGUAGAAUUUCCUGUGUAGCGGUGAAAUGCGUAGAUAUAGGAAGGAAUACCGAUGGCGAAGGCAGCCGCCUGGACCAACACUGACGCUGAGGUGCGAAAGCGUGGGGAGCAAACAGGAUUAGAUACCCUGGUAGUCCACGCCGUAAACGAUGUCAACUAGCCGUCUGUGACCUUGAGUCGUGGGUGGCGCAGCUAACGCACUAAGUUGACCGCCUGGGGAGUACGGCCGCAAGGUUA